rnacentral:rRNA from 1 species
GCUAAUACCGGAUAACAACAGAUGAUGCCUAUCAAACUGUUUAAAAGAUGGUUCUGCUAUCACUCUUGGAUGGGACCUGCGGUGCAUUAGCUAGUUGGUAGGGUAACGGCCUACCAAGGCGAUGAUGCAUAGCCCGAGUUGAGAGACUGAUCGGGCCACAUUGGGGACUGAGACACGGGCCCAAACUCCUACGGGAGGCAGCAGUAGGGAAUCUUCCACAAUGGACGCAAGUCUGAUGGAGCAAACGCCGCGUGAGUGAAGAAGGGUUUCGGCUCGUAAAAAGCUCUGUUGUUGGUGAAGAAGGACAGGGGUAGUAACUGACCCUUUGUUUGACGGUAAUCAAUUAGAAAGUCACGGGCUAACUACGUGCCAGCAGCCGCGGUAAAU